UGGAGGUCUGAGAAGGUUGAGCAGCUUCUGUUGUGCUGCUACAACUGGUUAUAACCUCCUAAAGAAAAAAAAAUCUCAAACAAGCCACUUGAUUUUCUGCUGUGUUCUGAACACAGCUGCCGUGAGCUGUUU
ensembl:snoRNA small nucleolar RNA SNORA47